GCGUGCUUAACACAUGCAAGUCGAACGGAAAGGCCCUGCUUUUGUGGGGUGCUCGAGUGGCGAACGGGUGAGUAACACGUGAGUAACCUGCCCUUGACUUUGGGAUAACUUCAGGAAACUGGGGCUAAUACCGGAUAGGAGCUCCUGCUGCAUGGUGGGGGUUGGAAAGUUUCGGCGGUUGGGGAUGGACUCGCGGCUUAUCAGCUUGUUGGUGGGGUAGUGGCUUACCAAGGCUUUGACGGGUAGCCGGCCUGAGAGGGUGACCGGCCACAUUGGGACUGAGAUACGGCCCAGACUCCUACGGGAGGCAGCAGUGGGGAAUAUUGCACAAUGGGCGGAAGCCUGAUGCAGCAACGCCGCGUGCGGGAUGACGGCCUUCGGGUUGUAAACCGCUUUCGCCUGUGACGAAGCGUGAGUGACGGUAAUGGGUAAAGAAGCACCGGCUAACUACGUGCCAGCAGCCGCGGUGAUACGUAGGGUGCGAGCGUUGUCCGGAUUUAUUGGGCGUAAAGGGCUCGUAGGUGGUUGAUCGCGUCGGAAGUGUAAUCUUGGGGCUUAACCCUGAGCGUGCUUUCGAUACGGGUUGACUUGAGGAAGGUAGGGGAGAAUGGAAUUCCUGGUGGAGCGGUGGAAUGCGCAGAUAUCAGGAGGAACACCAGUGGCGAAGGCGGUUCUCUGGGCCUUUCCUGACGCUGAGGAGCGAAAGCGUGGGGAGCGAACAGGCUUAGAUACCCUGGUAGUCCACGCUGUAAACGGUGGGUACUAGGUGUGGGGUCCAUUCCACGGGUUCCGUGCCGUAGCUAACGCUUUAAGUACCCCGCCUGGGGAGUACGGCCGCAAGGCUAAAACUCAAAGGAAUUGACGGGGCCCCGCACAAGCGGCGGAGCAUGCGGAUUAAUUCGAUGCAACGCGUAGAACCUUACCUGGGUUUGACAUGGAUCGGGAGUGCUCAGAGAUGGGUGUGCCUCUUUUGGGGUCGGUUCACAGGUGGUGCAUGGCUGUCGUCAGCUCGUGUCGUGAGAUGUUGGGUUAAGUCCCGCAACGAGCGCAACCCUUGUUCACUGUUGCCAGCACGUUAUGGUGGGGACUCAGUGGAGACCGCCGGGGUCAACUCGGAGGAAGGUGGGGAUGACGUCAAGUCAUCAUGCCCCUUAUGUCCAGGGCUUCACGCAUGCUACAAUGGCUGGUACAGAGAGUGGCGAGCCUGUGAGGGUGAGCGAAUCUCGGAAAGCCGGUCUCAGUUCGGAUUGGGGUCUGCAACUCGACCUCAUGAAGUCGGAGUCGCUAGUAAUCGCAGAUCAGCAACGCUGCGGUGAAUACGUUCCCGGGGCUUGUACACACCGCCCGUCAAGUCAUGAAAGUUGGUAACACCCGAAGCCGGUGGCCUAACCGUUGUGGGGGAGCCGUCGAAGGUGGGACUGGUGAUUAGGACUAAG
rnacentral:rRNA from 1 species